AGUGGAUGGGGAGCAACCUAGUUGUGCGUGUGUAAAGGUAGUGCCAAGAAAAGCGGUGAUCAUGAUGAAAAUCAAUUCCCGGUACCCGAAACCGACACAGGUGGGCAAGUAGAGAAUACUAAGGGGCGCGAGGUAACUCUCUCCAAGGAACUCGGCAAAAUGACCCCGUAACUUAGGGAGAAGGGGUGCCACCGAGAGGUGGUCGCAGUGAAGAGGCCCAGGCGACUGUUUAGCAAAAACAUAGGUCUCUGCAAACUCGAAAGAGGAGGUAUAGGGGCUGACGCCUGCCCAGUGCCGGAAGGUUAAAGAAGUUGGUCAGUCUUAGGAUAAAGCUAGCGACUGAAGCCCCGGUGAACGGCGGCCGUAACUAUAACGGUCCCAAGGUAGCGAAAUUCCUUGUCGGGUAAGUUCCGACCCGCACGAAAGGCGUAACGAUCUGGACGCUGUCUCGGAGAGAGGCUCGGCGAAAUAGGAUUGUCUGUGAAGAUACGGACUACCUGCAUUUGGACAGAAAGACCCUAUGAAGCUUUACUAUAGCUUGGAAUUGUGUUCGGGCUUCCUGUGCGCAGGAUAGGUGGGAGGCGAAGAAGGUAUUCUUGUGGGGAUACUGGAGCCAACGGUGAGAUACCACUCUCAGGAGGCUAGAAUUCUAACUUAAUUAAGGACAGUUUCAGGUGGGUAGUUUGACUGGGGCGGUCGCCUCCAAAAAGGUAACGGAGGCGUACAAAGGUUCCCUCAGACUGGUUGGAAAUCAGUCGCAGAGUGCAAAGGCAGAAGGGAGCUUGACUGCGAGAAGUACAGUUCGAGCAGGGUGGAAACACGGUCUUAGUGAUCCGACGGUGCUGUGUGGAAGGGCCGUCGCUCAACGGAUAAAAGUUACUCUAGGAUAACAGGCUGAUCUCCCCCAAGAGUUCACAUCGACGGGGAGGUUUGGCACCUCGAUGUCGGCUCAUCGCAACCUGGGGCGGAAGUACGUCCCAAGGGUUGGGCUGUUCGCCCAUUAAAGCGGUACGUGAGCUGGGUUCAGAACGUCGUGAGACAGUUCGGUCCAUAUCCGAUGUAGGCGUGAGAAUAUUGAGAGGAGCCUUCCUUAGUACGAGAGGACCGGGAAGGACGCACCGCUGGUGUACCUGUUAUGAUGCCAAUUGUAAACGCAGGGUAGCCAAGUGCGGAGAGGAUAACCGCUGAAAGCAUCUAAGUGGGAAGCCCACCUCAAGAUGAGUAUUCUGGUGUAAGGUCACGGGAAGACGACCCGUAAAUAGGCACGAGGUGGAAGUGCAGAGAUGUAUGAAGCCGAAGUGUACUAAUAGACCGUCGGCUUGACC
rnacentral:rRNA from 1 species